rnacentral:rRNA from 1 species
GACGAACGCUGGCGGCGUGCUUAACACAUGCAAGUCGAACGAUGAACCCGGAGCUUGCUCCGGUGGAUUAGUGGCGAACGGGUGAGUAACACGUGAGUAACCUGCCCUUGACUCUGGGAUAACUGCGGGAAACUGUAGCUAAUACCGGAUACGACCCUCGGCGGCAUCGCCAGGGGGUGGAAAGAAUUUCGGUCAAGGAUGGACUCGCGGCCUAUCAGCUAGUUGGCGGGGUUACGGCCCACCAAGGCUAUGACGGGUAGCAGGCGUGAGAGCGCGACCUGCCUCACUGGGACUGAGACACUGCCCAGACUCCUACGGGAGGCUGCAGUCGAGAAUAUUCCUCAAUGGCCGAAAGGCUGAAGGAGCGACGCCGCGUGCAGGAAGAAGCCCCUCGGGGUGUAAACUGCUUUUAUGUGGGACGAAUUAUUGACGGUACCACAAGAAUAAGAGGUUGCUAACUCUGUGCCAGCAGCCGCUGUAA